AAGCCAUGAUGUGGACACUGAUUUGUGUAGCUUCUAAACCUGUCCAAAGCUUCUCCAAAAGUUUCAUUAGACUGCUGAGUGAAACCUGAAAUCUGGUUUCUUAGUUU
rfam:Eutrema salsugineum unplaced genomic scaffold scaffold_119, whole genome shotgun sequence.